UUUCCACUUUUUGAGAUAUCAUGUUUCUCAUCACUUAAAAACCAAGUAACUAACCAAAAUGGAGUAUUUACUAGCAUGUACCCAGAUUAAGGAUUAUAUACACAUUACUUGAGUAAAACUGGGGUGGGAUCCUCACAUAAACUCUAAACCCAAAAAACUUGUGUGCACCUGAGACCAGUCAUGUUACUACAUGGGACUUGAUUCCCAUGGAUUUAUAUACACCUCUUAGGCUAUUUGAAAGAAAUAGAAACAUCACAACAACUAAACAUGAGGAACUGGACUACACAAGCAGGAUAAUCAGCUACAUGAUCCCAGAGGAAAGAAAGCAACCCAAAAUCUCAAAACCAAUUGCAUGCCCUUUAAUAACAACUUAUAUAAAUAAAAUUGGCUGAUGAAAUUCUCCAGAUUCAUGAAGAAUGGGGAAAUGAAAACAGCUCAAAUAUCUUCACAGGGAAAAACUAAUCUACAAUAUGCCUAUUAGUGGCUGGGAAAAUGCAGAAAUAGCUUUAAACAAAUACUGCUUUUACAAGUUCAGCUUAAUCAAAUCAGACCCAACAUUCACCCAUUCUCACACAGAAUUCAGAUAAAAGUCAUCGGACACGUCAUCAUGAUAAAAAACCCUAGAUUUGGCAAUUGCAACCAUUUUGAACAACCUAAUUGUACUGCACUAAUACAAGCCGAAAUCAGGCAUAAAAGCCCAAUGAACGAACAACAGAAGUCCAAUCUUAUCUGCAGAAUAUAAUAGCCGGGAUUAGAAGGAGACCUCUAUGCUAAACUAAUAUGAUCUAAUUACCAAUUACAGUUAUGCUUGACAGAUACAUUACUCAAAACUUCCAAGCUAUAUGGUGGUUAUAAAACUGAAGCAAAAGAGGUGAAAUCUGCAAAUAAUGUCACAUUCAUCCCAUUCUCAAUUCAUGCCUCAAGUUUUAACUUCACAAUCAACAAGGUUACCAAGUUGUACCUGGGAAAGAAAAAACAAAAAGAACGGGCAGAAAUCAACAAAAGCAGGACAGCAACAGCAGCAAGUAUCAGCUCAACCAGCAAUGUAACAAUGAUUUUCCAAUAUUAAAUUUGAACUAGCUUUAAAAAUACCCAAAAUUCAACUUAUUUCAAACUAAAAUGACUCAGGAAUGGUUUCAAAAGUUAGGAACUUCAAAAAUCAACCCAAAAAUCAAUGGAACCUUGUUUUCUACAGAAGUUUUCAGCUGUUUUCUUUGUUGAGUUUUUAGCCCUCAAAAAUCU
rnacentral:lncRNA from 1 species